GACGUAGGGCGCGAGCGUUGUCCGGAUUUAUUGGGCGUAAAGGGCGCGUAGGUGGCGCGACAAGUCAGUGGUGAAAGUUCGACGCUCAACGUCGAAUCGGCCACUGAUACUGUUGGGCUUGAGCACUGUAGAGGCUAAUGGAAUUCCGGGUGUAGCGGUGGAAUGCGUAGAGAUCCGGAAGAACACCGGUGGCGAAGGCGGCUACCUGGACCAGCAUUGACACUCAAGCACGAAAGCGUGGGGAGCAAACAGG
rnacentral:rRNA from 1 species